rnacentral:rRNA from 1 species
CGGUGGAGCAUGUGGUUUAAUUCGAAGCAACGCGAAGAACCUUACCAGGCCUUGACAUGCAGAGAACUUUCCAGAGAUGGAUUGGUGCCUUCGGGAACUCUGACACAGGUGCUGCAUGGCUGUCGUCAGCUCGUGUCGUGAGAUGUUGGGUUAAGUCCCGUAACGAGCGCAACCCUUGUCCUUAGUUACCAGCACGUUAUGGUGGGCACUCUAAGGAGACUGCCGGUGACAAACCGGAGGAAGGUGGGGAUGACGUCAAGUCCUCAUGGCCUUUAUGACCAGGGCUACACACGUACUACAAUGGCCGAUACAAAGGGCAGCGACACUGCGAGGUGAAGCCAAUCCCGUAAAAUCGGUCUCAGUCCGGAUUGGAGUCUGCAACUCGACUCCAUGAAGUUGGAAUCGCUAGUAAUCGUGGAUCAGCAUGCCACGGUGAAUACGUUCCCGGGCCUU